rnacentral:lncRNA from 1 species
AAAGAUCUUGUAUUCCUUCAUUAGAAUUGAAUGGCACUCCUUCUAUGACUUUGGACUAGACUCACAAGCAAAAAAAUAAUUCUACUUUCCUUGAGAACAAUAGUGGGCAGAUGCCAACCGAAGUGCUCAUCAAAGAUAAGACUCUGCCUAUCCUUCUCAUUAAUGAAGUUGUAGAUGUCAAUGGUGACACUAUCUUGAAGGAAGGUUAUGUAGAUCAAGACCAAUACUAGAAGCACAAGAGAAAGAAGGCAAAAGACCAACAUAGAGAGUUUGUUGAUUUGGUCGUUACUAUCAUAGAUAAUGAGCCAUUUUCUGUUAAUGAACCUAGCUCUAUUUUUCCAUUGCCUGAACUCGU